CCUCGCUCUGCUUCUCCACCCGCCGUGGGAGCCGUUUUCCUCAGCCCAGCUCUGUUGAUGCUCAUUCUGGGCCCGGUCCCAAAGUAAGCUGCUCACAACGGUGGACUAGACCGGUCAGCUUUCUCCCUUGCCCCAGAACACACUUCGUUUUUUCUUAGAGGAAGAGGCUUCCAGCGCUCCCGCGUUCUGCUUUCCCAUUGCUGAAGUGACUCCCCGGAGAGCAGAGGUCUGUGGACCGCCCAACAUGUAAAGGAAAGUACCCCUGGUAUGGACAUGCCAGAGUCUGGCUGUGCUUCCGGUUCCUCGGGAUUGGGCUUGGCCUCUGUCCUCCGGACUAUUGUAACCCUCAUCAACUGAAUCUUUCUGAACUCAUCAGCAAGCCAGGGGUUGGAGGAGGCCCUCUGAGCAGCGCUGGGGGAAUCACCCAGGGUCCUCUUUUUUUGUGGCGCUCUGGGAAGAAAGCCCCACUAGGAGCUUAGUAGCCACAGAGCAGAGUAAAGGUGGGGCUGUCUGCGCCUCUGUCAGUUGCCACUCAGAGGCGGUUCCUUGUGCACUCUGCAGGGGCGAAACCAUCAGGUCUGGGAGCGAAGGCUGCAGGCUCCAUAUUGAAGCCCACAGCCAACCCUUUCUGUCUUGAUUUGUGAAGCAGUAUCACCCUCCUGCCUUCAUCAUGUCCAGCUGGGACCUGCGAGGAACUCUGAGCCUUGAGGCCUGGGAGCUUGCCCUCUCGUCCUGGUCUCUGCUCAACCCUGGUCAAGGCUCUGCCUGGAGUUCCCACUGCUGUUGCUCCUUAAAUGAACUCUCUGGGAGUUGGGGAUGGGGAGGGAAAGCUCGUGUCAACAUUCCAAGUCUAAAUUUGAAGACAGCCGGUUUCCCCCGGGCACAGGGGACCCUGGGGGCAAAAUCUGUAUGUUGAUCUCCUAACCCCCAAAUUCUAGAAUGUAGGAAGAGAUGAGCCCUUUAGGAGUGGUUCAAAAUGAAGCCGUCAGGCUGGGUCCUAAUCCAAUUUUACUGGUGUCAUAAGGUGACUAAGCCCCUCAGAGGGUUGGGGGGGGGGGCACCUAGUGGGGGAACUCCCACGAGGAACGGGCCACCUGUAGGCCCAGGAGGCGGGGUCAUACAGGACCUUUUCAUAGCUGACUAAGGCUUUGCCUUCACCAUGCAACCACUUAGGAAUUCAAUGGAGCUUUAGGAGUGACUCUAUUGUAAAGGCCAGUUUGCUUAGGUCUUUUGCAUAUUAUGCUCUAUACCGCCUAGGGAUUCUGCUAGCAAGGCCAUUGCCUUGACCUUGUACCAGAGCCAUGAGCUAAAACAAUACAACUUACCCAAGCUGUGGUAUUGUGUUAUUAGCAACCGAAAAUGCACUCAGACAAGUGUUCACAUUCGUAUUCCAGGAUCGUAUCUGGAUACCAGGGGCUCAGAAAAUGCCUUUCUCAUACUUCUCUGUAAAAAUAAAAGACUGGAGAAAGUG
ensembl:antisense 4932702P03Rik RIKEN cDNA 4932702P03 gene